AGAGUUUGAUCAUGGCUCAGGAUGAACGCUAGCUACAGGCUUAACACAUGCAAGUCGAGGGGAAACGACAUUGGAAGCUUGCUUCCUUUGGGCGUCGACCGGCGCACGGGUGAGUAACGCGUAUCCAACCUUCCCGCAAGUAAGGGAUAACCCGUAGAAAUGCGGCCUAAUACCUUAUGUUUUCCUUAGAGGGCAUCUGAUGAGGAACAAAGAUCCGUCGCUUGCGGAUGGGGAUGCGUCUGAUUAGUUAGUCGGCGGGGUAACGGCCCACCGAGACGACGAUCAGUAGGGGUUCUGAGAGGAAAGUCCCCCACAUUGGAACUGAGACACGGUCCAAACUCCUACGGGAGGCAGCAGUGAGGAAUAUUGGUCAAUGGGCGGAAGCCUGAACCAGCCAAGUAGCGUGCAGGACGACGGCCCUAUGGGUUGUAAACUGCUUUUAUGCGGGGAUAAAGUGGGCCACGUGUGGCCUUUUGCAGGUACCGCAUGAAUAAGGACCGGCUAAUUCCGUGCCAGCAGCCGCGGUAAUACGGAAGGUCCGGGCGUUAUCCGGAUUUAUUGGGUUUAAAGGGAGCGCAGGCCGCCGGGCAAGCGUGUUGUGAAAUGCAGUCGCUCAACGUCUGCACUGCAGCGCGAACUGCCCAGCUUGAGUGCGCGCAACGUUGGCGGAAUUCGCCGUGUAGCGGUGAAAUGCUUAGAUAUGGCGAAGAACUCCGAUUGCGAAGGCAGCUGACGGGUGCGUAACUGACGCUCAUGCUCGAAAGUGCGGGUAUCGAACAGGAUUAGAUACCCUGGUAGUCCGCACGGUAAACGAUGGAUGCCCGCUAUUCGGCCCAUGCGGUUGAGUGGCCAAGCGAAAGCGUUAAGCA
rnacentral:rRNA from 1 species